AGAGUUUUCAGGAACUAAGAAGGGACUUACUGGCUUCACCCUCUUCAGGGUUUGGGCAAAUAACUAUAUCGUGGGCCCACUGCUUAGAUAAACAGGCGCUUGAAGAGAUUCAGCUGGGAUUGCUUGGUGUCUUCUCUUCCUGUUGCUCACCAGGCAUGUGAAAUGUGGGUUGCAGAAUUUGAGACAAUUUCUCAAAUGAGGACAAGCAGCUAGAGCCUCAGGGUCAGGAGGAAAGGAGAGGGGGGAAUGAUGAGAGCCUUCCUUGUCAUCAGAAAACGUUCGGAGUGCGGCACCCAAGAGGCUUGGCGUGCAAGUAGUCAGACCCCACAAUGUCCAAGGAGGUGAUCUGCAAGUAAGAAAGGAAAUGUGGGUGCUGAGUGGCUUUCUGUGGUAUGUGCUACUUGGUCUCACCUGGGAGCAGAGACGAUUUUGCCUUCUGCACCUCCAAAAAGCUUCUUUGAUAAGUUCUACAGAGGAAAACCAGGAGAACAAAGUAUUCUAGAAGCCAGGUGAAAAAAUCUGUAAGAAGGAAAGAGUGAACAAUCCUAUCAAAUGCAGAUAAUCAAGGAAGAUGAAGCCUGAGAAUGGAUCAUUGGAUUUAGUAACAUCUGAGUACAUGAGCAUUAUAACAGAGAGAGGAAAGAAUUUGGAGUAAUGAUAAUUCUGUUGCUUUAAUACAGCUAAGUAAUGAAUUUCAAAGUGUGGACUGGAAUUCCUCAAGAACUUUUUCAAGUCAUAACUUUUCACUUAAUGAUACUAAGAUGUCACUUGCCAUUUUCACUUUUUGUCUCGUGAAUGUACUGUGGAGUUUUCCAGAGGCUAUAUGAUGUAUGAGAGCACAAUAGAUUGAGUUCAGAAGCAGACAUGAGAAUCCAAUUGUCUUCUAUUAAGCUAGAAAUUAAAGAAAAUUCAAAAAAUGUAAAACAACACCA